AUAUUAGAAUAUACAAUUUCAAUCCUUAUCAAAUUUGUUAACUCUGAUCCCAUCAAAUCAAAUUAAAUUAAAUAAAUAAUAAUUAAAUUUAAACUCUUUUUUUUAUCAAAAUUAUAUAUAUAUAUAUAUAUAGUUCGGCCACUAUACUCUUAUAAAUACGAUCAUCUUCGUACUCAUAAGUCAUUUUCGAUGAUAGAGCUUCCGAAUCGACGAUUCAUACCGUUAAACAUUAUCUAGAAUAUUCAAAACUUCUAGAAAUAAAAUUUUAUAGGUUUUUGACAUCAUUUACCAUACGAUCAAAAGAUCUCAAAAUUGACAAUUUUUAACGGUCGGUAUGAAAUACUUACUAGUUUAACGGUGUACAAAAAAUCGGAAUCGGUUAAAUUUUUGGUAGAAAAUUCUAUUCACUAUCUAGAUAAAAAUUAAUAACUCUGAUCUUAAAUUAAAGGAUUAUAUCAUCCAUUUUUACAGAGUCUUUCAAUUUUAACUAUUCAUUUUAUGUCCGUUUGAUGAACUUUAUUAUAAUUUUAAAAAAUUAUAAAAUUUAUUUUUUAAAAAAUUUUAAAAAUUUGAAAUAUAUUUAACAAAAUAGAUCGUUGAUUUGUUAGUUUCAUCUUCGAAAACAACUUAUAAAUACCAAUACUCUAUAUUGCAAAGAGAGAGAGAGAGAGAGAG
rnacentral:lncRNA from 1 species